AUAUGUAAUAAUGGAAAUGGUAUUUUAAUUUCUACUUACUACCUUACUAUUGAUCAUAAAAUAUUUUAUAUAAUCAUAAAAGUUUUUAUGUGUAAUUCUAUGUCUUUGAUCAUUUUUAAAUGAAAGAAUGAAUACUGAGAAUCAGUAUAUUUAUGUUUUUGUGUUUUGAAGGACAAAAAAAUUUCUGUCAGUAGAAUCAGUAAAGAAUAUUUCAUAUGUCAACAUUUUCAAAGUUUGUUUUUUAAGUAUGUAAGUGUGAACCAGACAGUUGUUUAAGACCUUGUGUGGCCAAAUGCUAUUCCAGCAGUUAAAUGAACUCCUGUACUGCCCACAGAACUUAACAGGCUUGAAUCAAAAGGUCUGUCCUGGUCAGAAGGUGAAUGUUUCCAUGAGCGAAUAGGAUAUGUACGUAUUGUGACUGAACUGUGGUAUGUUUGUUCCAUCCAGCCUAUUGGCCUUCCUUCAUUAAAUUUAAUUAAAGUGGAUAGGGGUUUGGAAGUAUUCAAGCCUGGAAAAGUGUAUUGUUUUCCUAAAAAUAUUACUUUUAAUAGUUGAACACUUAAUUUUCUGUGGGUGGGAUUAAAUAUCUUUUAAUCCAUUUUAAAAGGUAUUAGGAGUGUGUGUGUUUUAUGCUAAUGUUGUUACUUUACAUGCUCUUUUAUUGAAUUACUGGUGUGUCUCUUAAGCAUUUUCAACACAAAUUUUCCAUUAUUGAGAGACAGAGGGAGACAGAGCAUGAGCAGGGGAGGGGCAGAGAGAGGAGGAAACACAGAAUCUGAAGCAGGCUCCAGGCUCCGAGCCGUCAGCACAGAGUCCGACGCGGGGCUCGAACUCAUGAGCUGUGAGAUCGUGACCUAAGCCCGAAGUCGGAGGCUUAACCAACUGAGCCACCCAGGCGCCCCUAAAUUUUCCAUUCUUAAGUACAUUAACACUUUAAUUUUCUGAAACCCUCAGAGAAUGAUUCAUUCUAGACAGGUUUCUGGAUGGUGAGUUUGAACUCACAACAUGGGAAAAAUAAUUAUUUUGCAUGGAAUUCAUUCUGUUAAAAAAAGUAGGAUUUUUCUUUCUCCUAAAAGUAUACUGAGCAGAAUUAGCUUUUCACAUUGUUUUUAUCAGUAUGUGGGAAGAUGACUCUGGUUUAUUCCUGUCUUGCCACUAAUUGGCCUUGGCAGUACCGGAGUCCUGGCUGCAGACUCUUAGCACGUGUAGGGCUCCACUCGAGACAGGUGCUGCAGUUCCGCACUUAACAGCACGGGCAUCGCAGACAGACUCGGGUUCCAGUCCCAUCUCUCCUGGAUGUAGCUGUACAGUCUUUGUACAGGUCACUAGAUUUCAUUUUCUUCAUUUGCAGGGUGGGGAAUUAGAGUCCUAAUACUUCAUUGAAUAUGAGGAUUAUGUGAAUUAACACAUGGAAAUCACUUAGCACGGCACUCCACUCAUAGAAAACUCUAAGUAUAAGCUGUUGUUUAUGUUAACAUCAUCACUGUUUCUCCUACAGCUAUAGGAACAGUGCUCCAGGCAGCUGUGACACUUGUUCUUGUUAUGUCUGCUAGUCAUUUGUUUGCCUUUCGCUGAUACUGAUGUGUGCGUACGUAUUAGAGCUUUUUCUAUUUUCUAUCUGUUUUAUUAAAAAAAUUUUUUUAAUGUUUGUUUAUUUUUGAGAGCAAGAGACAGAGUGCAGAGGCAGAGAGAGAGAUAGGGAGGGGUGGAGAGAGAAGGAGACACAGAAUCCAAAGCAGGCUGCAGGCUAUGAACUGUCAGCACAGAACCCAAUAUGGGGUUUGAACCCAUGAACUGUGAGAUCAUGACCUGAGCUGAAGCUGGAUGCUCAACCGAUUGAGCCACCCAGGCGUCCCUCCAUUUUCUAUUUUUUUUUUUUUUUGACUUUUAUUUAUUUUUGAGAGAGACAGAGACAGAAUGUGAGUGGGUCAGGGGCAGAGAGAGAGGGAGGCACAGUACCCGAAGCAGGCUCCAGGCUCCGAGCUGUCAGCACAGAGCCUGACGCGGGGCUCGAACUCACAAGCUGUGAGAUCAUGACCUGAGCUGAAGUUGGAUGCUCAACUGACUGAGCCACCCAGGCGCCCCUCCAUUUUCUAUUUUUAAUGAAGAGUUUAUUUGUUUCUUUUUAUCUGUAUUUUGUCAGCUUAGAGAAUGGAAGAACUUGUGAGCCAUGGUAUAAGUAAACCUUCAGUGUGCUUAUGGGCAAAGUAUAUUCUAUAAGGUACAAAAGGAAGAAAUUAAGCUAAAUGUACUCCUUGCAUAUUUAAGGUAGAAGGUUUUUCUGUUUGGAUACAAAAUUUCCUGCAGUAAAGAGAAUGGUUUAAAAUAAAAUCAGCUGUGUCUCAUCUGUCUUUCACCAAGGGGAGGUACCAUUUGCUUCCUGUGUGGAGGUGCCAUUGAAAUACUGACCAUCAUUUCUUUUAGGGGAGUGAAUUUAACUUGCUUUAGGCCUUAAAAUGUACACAACUCUUUAAUUCUUUAUUGUAGGGGUCACAAGUGAUUUCUGUUGUUAAUGACAUAUCAGAUGAUUCCUAUCACAGAAAUUGAUUCCUUCCUGUUCUCUGUUAUUCAUUUGUAAGGUGAGGGACUGUGGUUUCUAUCAGUCACACACAGUAUGCUCUAGGCCUUCUCUUGCCCAUGGAGGUGGCACUUUAGUGUUCUUCCUUUGUUCUAUCUUUUAGCUGCCACUGUAGUUUCUUGGCCAAUACUGGAUGGGAAAAAGAUGAUUGAUCUUUUCUUCCAGGUACCCCCCCUCCUCCUACAGCAGUAAGUUCCGUGUGCAGUGAGAAAAUAAGACUCUGUAAGCACGUUAUUCUACCUUUCAGCAGGAAUAUUCAUAAUAACUAACAUAGAUAAUUAUUGUGUGAUGUCAUUGUCCUAAUUAUGUUACAUACUAAUUUUAUUGUUGAAUAAGUCUUUGAGCUUUGUGUUGCCAUUUUUUGAAGAACUAAGGCUGACAGCAGUUUAGUAACUUAUCUGUGUUCAUAUAGUGCAUAACCCAGUUGGGAGUAGAAUUCAGCCAUUACAGACUCAAAUUUUUUAUUCAAUUUAAAAAAUCCUUUUUAACUUUGGGGCGCCUGGGUGGCUUAGUCAGUUAAGUGUCUGACUCUUGGUUUUGGCUCAGGUCAUGAUCUCAUAGUUCGCGAGAUUGAGCCCUGUGUCGGGCUCUGUGCCGACAAUGCCAAGCCUGCUUGGGAUUUCUUCCCUCCCCCCUGCCCACUGCACACUCAAAAAAAAAAAAAAAACAAAAAAAACAAUUCUUUUUAACUUCAUUUAUGAAAAAUUUGAAAUAUAUGACAAAAGCUGGAUAGGUAUAUUGGACACUCCACAUACAUUUCACCUAUAUUUAAAACUAAAGUUAAUAGUGUUUUAAAACAAGCCCUGUAAAGUUUGGCAUUACAUGUCAGUGUGCAUCUUUAAAAAUAAGAGCAUUUUCUUAUAUAACCGCACUGUACUGUUUGCAUAUUUCAUUUACUUAUUUCUUUCCACUUUGUUUUUGAAUAUUGAGCAGUCCUUCUCCUUUCCUUCUCUUUUUCCAUACCAUUGGGUCCUUGAAAAGACUGGGUCCUGUGAUUCCUAAAUUCUUAGCCAUGAUACCCUUCUGCUCUCUGAGGGACCAGUGCAAGGGAAGUGGCAAGCAGAGGGCGAGUGAGUAGGAAGCUCCUGAGAUGUUGUGCAAAGUGCACCGGAUUGUGGCUUGAUUCUUCGAGUGGUAGAGACACAGGCUGGAAGUUAAACAAACUACCUGCAGACAGAAUUUGACACUUUAAUCACCAAUUUCCAAACAAACCCAAAAGCCCACGUAACCACACAAAAUAGUAUUUUUUAUUAUUUUCUUCUUGUUAGCAGGAUAUGAACCAUUGUUGCUAUUGAAGUUUGUUUCGAUCUGGAAACAAUAAUUAUGCUAGAACGUAAUCAUGCUAAAAAUAAUUUCUGACAUUGCAAAAAUUACUUUUUUAUUCCCCUUUCAUUCAACAGGCGUUUACUGAGUCUUUACUCUUUUCACAACUCUUUUGGGGCUUUAUUAGAAGGUCCUGUCCACAGCAAGUUUAUAAUUCGGUAGGGAAGAGAGCCUCUAUGAAACAAAACACAUUUCCAUAUCAUUUGGAGCAUGCAGGUGCUAAGGGUCAGGGUAAGUGAAGCAUGCUUGGGAGAUGGUGAAGGGAGAAGGCCCACUGCCAGCCUAGUGCAGAGAGGAGAGGGAAGGCAUGGGUAGGUAGUCCAGUGGUCCAAAGAAGCAGAAUUUGACACUUAGCGGGGGCCUGCAUGGCUUAGUCAGGUAAGUGUCCAGCUUCAGCUCAGGGCAUGAUCUCAUGGUCUGUGAGUUCGAGCCCCACAUCAGGCUCUGUGCUGACAGCUUAGGGCCUGGAGCCUGCUUCGGAUUCUCUCUCUCUCUCUCUCUCUCUCUCUCUCUCUCUGCCUCUCCCCCUCUCUGCCUCUCCCUCACUCAUGCUCUGUGUCUCUUUCUCUCUCAAAAAUGAAUAAACAUUAAAAAAAAUUUUUUUUAAUAAACAAAAAAAAAACCAAAAAUGACUUUGACACUUAGCACCUUGGGUGGCCCGAGGAAAGCAAACGCAAGUGUAGAGGUGAGAAAGCCUAGGGAGUACGAGUUGUAUGUUAUAGUACAUACGAAUGUCCUUAGAUUUAGGAAAUGUCUUUCUACAAGAUCAGCAUUAUAUUUUGCUUCCUGUGUCUAUGGUUUUGUGACUUUCCCUUUGGGAAUGUCAACAGUAGAUACUCAUGGGUUUGCAUGGUUCCUGUAGCCGCUAUAGGGCAGGAGGCAUCAUUUUACUUUAUGAUAUUAUGGUUAUAGUAAUUCCAAUUUUCCAAAACUUGCUGCAGCUUAUUUUUGCAAUGAGGUCUUUUGUCAUGUGGACUCAGGUUCAGCCAUUCCAUGGGGUGUGGCAUACUUACAUUUUCCUAAAGGCUGUGUUUUUGAAAACUAUGACAACAUAGUUUUCACUAUGUUUUACUCUAAAAUCAGCGUAACCAAGCAAUUCGAUUGUAUGUGUUUAUUGUUAAAAUCUCUGACCUAACCCCUUCAUGAUACCUUUUAAAAUAAUUAUCUUUUUCAUCAAAGAAGCAGUUUAAAGAUACGACAUAAAGAAACAUUUCACUUAAGGCAUUUAACAGUUCUGACACUUCUAUAGUAACUUAAGACAUCUCUGAUUCCUUAAUGAGUUAUAUAUGAAAAUUGGCUACUUCAUGAAGACCUUUUAAAUACAUUUCUUUUGGAUAACAAUGCUAUUGCUAAAUAGUUUUUCUCCCCAAGUGAUUCUGGUCACAGGCAGCCUGGCUAAGAUGAAAUUUAAAUUAUGGGCCCAGUUUAUUCUCUGUGACUUUAGUUUUCUUAUUUAAAAAAAUUUUUUUUUUAAUGUUCAUUUAGUUUUGAGAGAGAAACAGACAGCAUUAGUGGGAGAGGGGCAGAGAGAGAGAGGGAGAGACAGACAGACAGAAUCUGAAGCAGGCUCCAGGCUCUGAGCUGUUAGCACAGAGCCUGACCCAGGGCUCGAACUCAUGGACCAUGAAAUCAUGACCUGAGCUGAAGUUGGGUGCUUAAAUGACCGAGCCACUCAGGCAUCCCUAGUUUUGUUACAUUUUUAUAAUGUGAUAUGAUGGAUCUGCAGGGAGUGGGGUGUAGGUGGGCACAGCGUUGAGUGAUAAUAACUGCCAUGUAUUGGGUCCCUUCUGUGAGCCUAGUAUAGUGCCAGAUGCUUUACAUAUGCUAGCUGUAGUUCUUAGAACAGCUGGUAGUGAUGCAUUACAGAUUGUAUUUACAAAAGAAGAAAGUUGGAUUGAGAGAAUUAAAUGGCCUAAGAGUCUACAACUAGAAACAGCAGAUCUGGGUUUCAAAUCCAGACCUAUAUGAUUCCAAAGCUUGUAUUUUUCUAUGAUUCUAGAUUCUAGAUAUCUAUGAUUCUAGAUAAAGGAAGCUUUCAGUCAGUGUCUUUACUGCUUUAGAGGUUUUCAAACCGAUACAGUACAGGUCAGUGAAUGGCAAAUGUUAGAGCAGAGUGCUUGAGUUCUGAGGGAGGUCGGAGAGAUAAUAGUGGAUUCCGAGUGUCAGCAUAGCUCAUGUAGGGAGCAGUCAGUGAACUUUGGCUGGAGAAUAGAGGUGCAUUAAAAGAGUAGUGACCGGGGCGCCUGGGGUGGACAUUCGAGCCUGGUCAUGUGAGAUUUGGAAUGCCAGCCUGGUGAAUUAAGGCUUUCUCACCUCACUUAUCAUAGAAAUUUGGUUUACUAAAUGAUGAUAAUAUCUAGAUGUUCAUAAGAAGAGUAGAAAUGACUUGAUUUUUGUCUUCUUGGAUUUCUUUCCAAGACUUUGUUGUAAUAAUUUGAGUGUGUCGAUAAGCUGGUUCUCCUGUAAGUAAAGGUAGGAUCUGGCCUCAGGCAGACACAAGAAGACUAGACACUUGGUGGCUUGUUGCAUGUUGUGUGAAGUUAAUGUCCAGUGACAUAGCCUGCAUGGUCAGCCAGAACAAGAGAUUUGGCUCAGGGCCAUACUGGUAGAGCAGCGAUCUCAGUGUCAGCUCUUAUUUCAAUUAGGUCCUUGCAAAAAUUUUUGCAGUUAGAGCCAUUCUUUUGACAGCUAAAUCUCUCUAUGUGUGCAUUUAUUAAAUGCAUGUACUUAGGUGUUUUUUUUUUGAUGUAUGGUCCAGUUGAAGAGAAAUGAGUGUAUCCAUUUAUGUCUCUCCUAUAGUCAAUAAAUUUUAAGUGUAACUAUCAGAGGACAAAAUAGAGGAAAUGUCAUACCUCUUUCCCCUCCCCAGCCUUUCUCCUUGAAUAUUAUUUUGUCAUUCAUUUACCAAAUACUAUUUUUUGCCAAGUAGUUUAGGCUCUUUGGAGGCCUGUGAAAGGAACCUAACAUUUCCACUCACUCAUCUCUAACGAGACCUUUCCCAGUGCCUUUUUUCUCUUUGCGUUUAUUCAUGUUGCUUCUUCUGCUCAGGUCAUCUCUUUUCUCUCUCUCCUUAAUCUCCCCGUUUCCUUAUUCUGAUUAUGGAGUAGUUCUUCAAGUCUGAUUAAACAUUGGUGGCCAGUUUGGCAUAUUUAGGUAAACUGAGAAAUUUCUAUUACAAAUGACAGAUCAUCAGUCUUUAAGUUGCUUUCUGGUUCAGUCACAGGUCAGUUGACUUUUUGGACAUAGCCUUCUUUAUGAAGCUAGAUCUCUUUGUCAAAUGAGAAUGAAAAUGUGAAAACGUGGAAGUAUGAUUUACAGGUAGAACCACAAGUGUAUCAAACAUUUAUUGAUCAACUAAAACAUGCAGGAUCCUUUGUUAGGGUUUUUUGGUGGGUAUGUGUCUAACAAUGGGACAUGAUUGCUGAAUGUUGGCAGCUCCUUCUGUUAAGCCUGUAAUCUGUUGGGAUGUAAGACUUAGUGUACAGAGCUAACUAUUGUGUGUGACAAAACAUGGGAAAUUCUGUAAUGUAAAUACAA